rnacentral:rRNA from 1 species
AAUCAACGCUGGCGGCGUGCCUCAGACAUGCAAAUCGAACGAUUAAAGCUCUCUUCGGAGAGUGUAUAGAGUGGCGCACGGGUGAGUAACACGUAAGUAAUCUACCCUCGAGUGGGGAAUAACGUUCGGAAACGAACGCUAAUACCGCAUAAUGCAGCGGCAUCGCAAGAUGACAGUUGUUAAAGGAGUAAUUCGCUUGA